UAGUGGGGUGUACAGGGUUAAUAACCCCUGGGGGGGGGUAGUGGGAUGUACAGGGUUAAUAAUGUUCACACACGACAGGCAGGUCUGAUUUCAUUCACAUGUUUAAUUCAUUAAUGCUCUGGGUGAAAACUAAGAAACCAAGGAACAGACAGAAAAGUCCAACAACAACAACAACAACAUUGUUUAAAAGAAGGCUUCAAGGCACCGUUCCCCGGUAGCAGAGAUCACAUUAUCUUUAAAACGUCACACUACGGGUUCCCGGAUCCCGGUGCGUACUGAAAGACAUCCUGCAUCACGUCCUCUUCACCACGCAACGGCCCAGAGUCGUGUCCUACGUCAGGGGUACGGUGUCCUUCGAGAUGAGCCCGUAGCUUCUGGACAGAGUCGAUAUGAAGUAAGUAGGGUUUAAGUCACAAAUAGCACCUUGUGCACUACUCUUGACCGGAGCGGCUCUGGUAGGGCACUAAAUAGGGCAGGGGGGGGGUCAAACUGAUUCCAAGCAGGGCCCUAGUGACCGCUGGCUUUUCCCCUUUCAAUUAAAGACCUAGACAACCAGGUGAGGGGGAGUUCCUUACUAAUUAGUGACCUUUUUAAUUCAAUUAAAUCGGGAACGAAAACCACAGACACUCGACCCCUCCAGUGGAAUGAGUUUGACACUAUGGGGGGGGGGUGUAUGUUGUCAUCGGGGCCGCGUAGGUCCAGCUCCAGUCUGCUGGUUGAGCCGUUAGAUCGUGAGGUAUGUUGUUUUGGGGGGGGGAUCGUGGUGUUGCUUCUUUAAUGCAGCCGACACACAUUACAAAAUGGCUGCCGUGGCAUACUAAAAACCUAGUUCAGUUCUGCCACCUCCCACACUGAACUGUCCCUCCCUCAUGGAUCUAACGUGGACUAGUGUUAGGUAAUAUGGUGAAAGGUGAAACUCCCUCCCAAGCUGAAGGUGUUACUCCCUCCCUCCCAAGCUGAAGGUGAAACUCCCUCCCUCCCAAGCUGAUGGUGAAACUCCCUCCCUCCCAAGCUGAAACUCCCUCCCAAGCUGAAGGUGAAACUCCCUCCCAAGCUGAAGUUGAAACUCCCUCCCAAGCUGAAAGUGAAACUCCCUCCCUCCCAAGCUGAAGGUGAAACUCCCUCCCAAGCUGAAGUUGAAACUCCCUCCCAAGCUGAAAGUGAAACUCCCUCCCUCCCAAGCUGAAGGUGAAACUCCCUCCCAAGCUGAAGGUGAAACUCCCUCCCUCCCAAGCUGAAGGUGAAACUCCCUCCCUCCCAAGCUGAAGGUGAAACUCCCUCAACUCCCAAGCUGAUGGUGAAACUCCCUCCCAAGCUGAAGGUGAAACUCCCUCCCUCCCAAGCUGAAGGUGAAACUCCCUCCCAAGCUGAAGGCGAAACUCCCUCCUUCCCAAGCUGAUGGUGAAACUCCCUCCCAAGCUGAAGGUGAAACUCCCUCCCUUGCAAGCUGAAGGUGAAACUCCCUCCCUCGCAAGCUGAAGGUGAAACUCCCUCCCUCGCAAGCUGAAGGUGAAACUCCCUCCCUCGCAAGCUGAAGGUGAAACACCCUCCCUCCCAAGCUGAAGGUGAAACUCCCUCCCAAGCUGAUGGUGAAACUCCCUCCCAAGCUGAAGGUGAAACUCCCUCCCAAGCUGAAGGUGAAACUCCCUCCCUCCCAAGCUGAAGGUGAAACUCCCUUCCUCCCAAGCUGAAGGUGAAACUCCCUCCCUCCCAAGCUGAAGGUGAAACUCCCUCCCUCCCAAGCUGAUGGUGAAACUCCCUCCCAAGCUGAAGGUGAAACUCCCUCCUUCCCAAGCUGAAAGUGAAACUCCCUCCUUCCCAAGCUGAUGGUGAAACUCCCUCCCAAGCUGAAGGUGAAACUCCCUUCCUCCCAAGCUGAAGGUGAAACUCCCUUCCUCCCAAGCUGAAGGUGAAACUCCCUCCCUCCCAAGCUGAAGGUGAAACUCCCUUCCUCCCAAGCUGAUGGUGAAACUCCCUCCCAAGCUGAAGGUGAAACUCCCUCCCUCCCAAGCUGAAGGUGAAA
ensembl:lncRNA